rnacentral:rRNA from 1 species
CGUAGGGUGCAAGCGUUAAUCGGAAUUACUGGGCGUAAAGCGUGCGCAGGCGGUGAUGUAAGACAGAUGUGAAAUCCCCGGGCUCAACCUGGGAACUGCAUUUGUGACUGCAUCGCUGGAGUGCGGCAGAGGGGGAUGGAACUCCGCGUGUAGCAGUGAAAUGCGUAGAUAUGCGGAGGAACACCGAUGGCGAAGGCAAUCCCCUGGGCCUGCACUGACGCUCAUGCACGAAAGCGUGGGGAGCAAACAGGAUUAGAUACCCUGGUAGUCCACGCCCUAAACGGAUGUCAACUGGUUGUUGGGUCUUCACUGACUCAGUAACGAAGCUAACGCGUGAAGUUGACCGCCUGGGGAGUACGGCCGCAAGGUUG